rnacentral:rRNA from 1 species
AUUGAACGCUGGCGGCAUGCCUUACACAUGCAAGUCGAACGGCAGCACGGACUUCGGUCUGGUGGCGAGUGGCGAACGGGUGAGUAAUGUAUCGGAACGUACCUUUCAGUGGGGGAUAACGUAGCGAAAGUUACGCUAAUACCGCAUAUUCUGUGAGCAGGAAAGCCGGGGAUCGAAAGACCUUGCGCUGAUUGAGCGGCCGAUAUCAGAUUAGCUAGUUGGUGGGGUAAAGGCCUACCAAGGCGACGAUCUGUAGCGGGUCUGAGAGGAUGAUCCGCCACACUGGAACUGAGACACGGUCCAGACUCCUACGGGAGGCAGCAGUGGGGAAUUUUGGACAAUGGGGGCAACCCUGAUCCAGCCAUGCCGCGUGAGUGAAGAAGGCCUUCGGGUUGUAAAGCUCUUUCGGCCGGGAAGAAAUCGCAUAGGCUAAUACCCUGUGUGGAUGACGGUACCGGAAGAAGAAGCACCGGCUAACUACGUG